UGCGAAGAUGACCUUGAGACAGUUUUACACCGAACACCCUGAUGUGACCACUAGAGGGCAGCAGAGAACAGAGUGAUGAGACGAUGGCCAUUUUGUCCCGCCUUUGUCUUCGAUUCCUUUGAUUUUCCCAGCUUUCAUCCUUUUGUUAACUUUGGCUUUAUGGGUAAUGGGUGCCUCACAGGGUCAAAGACUGUGUUGCCCUUGACUGUUACCGUGCAUUGGAGCCUGGGAGACAGAACGUCUGGUGCCGAGUAACAGCUGGAGAAGGAAAGCUGUCUCCACCAGGAAGGCCCUCAAGACCACCCUCAGGUAAGUAAUGACUUCUUUUUCCCCGGCAUUUCUACAGCCCAACUACUCCCAUUCCUC
rnacentral:lncRNA from 1 species